rnacentral:rRNA from 1 species
UGGGGAAUAUUGGACAAUGGGCGCAAGCCUGAUCCAGCCAUGCCGCGUGAGUGAUGAAGGCCUUAGGGUUGUAAAGCUCUUUCGCCGACGAAGAUAAUGACGGUAGUCGGAGAAGAAGCCCCGGCUAACUUCGUGCCAGCAGCCGCGGUAAUACGAAGGGGGCUAGCGUUGUUCGGAAUCACUGGGCGUAAAGCGCACGUAGGCGGAUUGUUAAGUCAGGGGUGAAAGCCUGGAGCUCAACUCCAGAACUGCCCUUGAUACUGGCAAUCUCGAGUCCGGAAGAGGUAAGUGGAACUGCGAGUGUAGAGGUGAAAUUCGUAGAUAUUCGCAAGAACACCAGUGGCGAAGGCGGCUUACUGGUCCGGUACUGACGCUGAGGUGCGAAAGCGUGGGGGAGCAAAACAGGAUUAGAUACCCUGGUAGUCCACGCCGUAAACGAUGGAGGCUAGCCGUUGGCGAGCAUGCUCGUCAGUGGCGCAGCUAACGCAUUAAGCCUCCCGCCUGGGGGAGUACGGUCGCAAGAUUAAAACUCAAAUGAAUUGAC